GGCAGGAGGAUUGUGAAGCUGAGGCUGGCUGGGCUUACACAGUGAGUCUCAGGCCAGCCUGCGUUGUAGGAAGCCUUACCCUGUCAAACCAGUCAGGGCUGUGGAUAUGGCUCACUGCAUGUUCCAUAGUUCCAAGCUCUAGAGAGGGUGAGGCGGAUGGUGUCUGUAGAUGGAACUUUCCCCGCUCCAGGCCUCUUCCCCAGCCCACAGUCCUCUUCUCUGUGGAGAAAAGCGUGUGAACUUAGCAUGUACGUGUCUGCUGGGGCUGGAGAGAUGGCUUGGUAGUUAAUGGCACUGGUUGCUCUUCUGGAGGAUCCAUUCCCAGCAUCCACACAACUGCCAAAAUCUUAGCUCUAACUCCAGUUCCAGAGAUCUGAUGCCCUCUUCUGGACACAGUGGGCACUGCAUGCUCAUGGUGAACAUACACACAUACAGUUACCAGAGUUCUUCAGUCUUCAGACAUCCCAGUACCACAGACUCAGUUGGAA